rnacentral:RNase_P_RNA from 1 species
GAAGCUGACCAGACAGUCGCCGCUUCGUCGUCGUCCCUUUCGGGGGAGACGGGCGGAGGGGAGGAAAGUCCGGGCUCCAUAGGGCAGGGUGCCAGGUAACGCCUGGGGGGCGCAAGCCCACGACCAGUGCAACAGAGAGCAAACCGCCGAUGGCCCGCGCAAGCGGGAUCAGGUAAGGGUGAAAGGGUGCGGUAAGAGCGCACCGCGCGGCUG